CGCAGCCCAGUGGUUGACUCAGGUGCCAGGAGACUGCGGGGAGGCAGGGCGGUAGCCAGGGAGACCAAGGGAAGCGGCUGCCACAGAACUAGGGCGUCAGUCAGGGCCGGGCUGCAGGCGCGGGGCGGGGGAGGAGGGACGCGGCCUUCUCCCCGGCGGGCCUGGCGGGAGGCACCCCGGCUUCUAGGGGCGGAUUCCGCUCCCGACUCUUCCCCACGGGAGGAACCCUAGCUGACAGCACGGUGCAAGGGCCCAGGCCUGCAGGGGGCAAAGCGCCACCGAGAGCUCAAGCGCGCGCCCACGAAGGCGCCCGAAAGCCCAGGCGCCCGCCUGGCUUUUCUCGGUCGGGUCCCGGGGCCAGCGCGGGGCCGCUCCCAGGGCCUUCUGGCCUCCCGGGGCCCCCUAGGAGGAGGCAGCAAAGCCUCGGUCGACUCGACCGCAGAGGAACCCACGAGAGAAGAAAAAGCCCCGGCGAAUGACGCCGGCUGGGACACCCCAAGGAGCUUUUUUGGGUUGCUGAGUUCAUGGGCAGAAAGGAUGAUGACCACAGGGGCAACGCAGGAGCAACUUUGCUGAGACCUCUCCCUCUUGAGCCAUGUUUUCUCCAGGAGCAGACUACCCCUGAGUCUUAUCCUGGCCCACAAGGGGGGUAGGACAGCUGCCUGUCCUCUGAGAGGGUACCACACCCAGAUGCCUACAGCACAGAAGCCAAGUGAGGGUGGGUGACAAUACUGAAGGUCCAAGGCACAACCAAAAGGGCCGUUAGCUGGGGAGCACCAUGUAGAAAUGAGGUUCCAGCCCAGCCAGAUCUUUCAAGAAAAGCUGGAAGUACUUCUUUUUUUUUUUAAGUGAAACCUUUAAUGUGAAUUUUAAAGUUGGUUACUAAUCCAAGUGAAAAGAGCCAAACCCAGCAUGUCCAGGGGCCCCAUGCAGCUUCACUGGCUGCCAGUUUGUGAUCCCUGACAUCCUUUCCUCCUCUCUGACCCAAAAGCUGAGCAAGAUAAGAAUCUGAAACUCAGAAUAGUGCCCAAGGGAAUGGGUGUCUGGAAGCCCUUUUCAUAUUUCAAAACUCUCAACCAUAAGAAAAGAAAGGCAUCUUUCAAGAGACUUGAAACAGAAAUUGCUGCUGCCCAAAAUCUGUCUUCCUAAACUUUCUGUUGCAGGUAGUAAUAAUAGCUCAUCUUCAGUGACCACUUGCUAUGUGUGUGGCAAAGUUCUAAGUGCUUUACCUAUGUUAUCUCAUUUUGCAGAUGAGACUGAAGCUCACUGAAGUUCAGUAAAUUGCCAAAGACUCCCAGCUAAAAGUGGCAGAGCAAGGACUCAAACCAAGGCAGACUUCUGGUUUCAGAGCCUUUCAAUUCCUAACCAGGUGAGAAUAAAACUUCCAACACGCUUAUU